GAAUCCGGACAAAACUAAAGUCAAGACCUCUGUUCUGAACUUCACUGCUACUCAACGCCACCACGGACAGGAAAUCUCCUGUACUGCUGUCUACAACAAACAAAUGGCAGCACUGAGUCAUCUGUUUCCAGACUGACAGCUGAUGUUUCAUAUCCACCCCAAAGCACCACAGUGUCAGUCAGUCCCUCUGGUCCAGUACCAGAAGGCAGCACUGUGACUCUGACAUGCAGUAGUACUGCCAACCCAGCAGUGAGGGACUACACCUGGUACACAGCUCAGGGAGUCCAGGGACUGUCAUGGGGACCGGACCUGUUUUACACAUUCAAGCUUCUAAAGUCAGUGUUCCUUUUUUCUGCAAGGCAAAAAAUUAUCUUGGAGCUGGACGAUCCACCAUCAGUCAAAUAGAUGUUCAGUAUCCACCCAAACACACCACAUGUCAGUCAGUCCCUCUGUCCAGUACCAGAAGACAGCACUGUGACUCUGACAUGCAGUAGUACUGCCAACCCAGCAGUGAGGGACUACACCUGGUACACAGCU